GAUGAAGAACGUAGCGAAAUGCGAUAAGUAAUGUGAAUUGCAGAAUUCAGUGAAUCAUCGAAUCUUUGAACGCACCUUGCGCUCUUCGGUAUUCCGAAGAGCAUGCCUGUUUGAGUGUCAUGAAAAUAUCAACCUUGACUUGGGUUUUGUGCUCUAGUCUCGGCUUGGAAUUGGGUGCUUGCCGCUUUUACGAGCGGCUCACCUUAAAUGUAUUAGCUGGAUCUGUCUUUGAGACUUGGUUUGACUUGGCGUAAUAAGUAUUUCGCUAAGGACAUUCUUCGGAGUGGCCUCGUUUCUAGGACGCUUGUCCGCUUUCCAAUACAAGUUCCACCUCGUGGACAUGACUUUUUAUUAUCUGGCCUCAAAUCAGGUAGGACUACCCGCUGAACUUAAGCAUAUCAAUAAGCGGAGGA
rnacentral:misc_RNA from 1 species